rnacentral:rRNA from 1 species
AGGCCUACCAUGGUGGUAACGGGUAACGGGGUGUUAGGGCACGACACCGGAGAGGGAGCCUGAGAAACGGCUACCACAUCCAAGGAUGGCAGCAGGCGCGCAAAUUACCCAAUCCCGACACGGGGAGGUAGUGACAAUAAAUAACAAUACGGGGUUCUUUAGGAUCUCGUAAUUGGAAUGAGUACAAUUUAAAUCUUUUAACGAGGAACAAUUGGAGGGCAAGUCUGGUGCCAGCAGCCGCGGUAAUUCCAGCUCCAAUAGCGUACAUUAAAGUUGUUGCAGUUAAAAAGCUCGUAGUUGAGUUUCGGGGUUAGUAGGUUGGUCAUGCCUCUGGUAUGUACUGGUCUCACUGAUUCCUCCUUCCUUAUGAACCGUAAUGCCAUUAAUUUGGUGUUGCGGGGAAUUUGGACUGUUACUUUGAAAAAAUUAGAGUGUUUAAAGCAGGCUAACGCUUGAAUACAUUAGCAUGGAAUAAUGAAAUAGGACGUUCGAUCUUAUUUUGUUGGUUUCUAGGAUUGACGUAAUGAUUAAUAGGGAUAGUUGGGGGCAUUAGUAUUCAAUUGUCAGAGGUGAAAUUCUUGGAUUUAUUGAAGACUAACUACUGCGAAAGCAUUUGCCAAGGAUGUUUUCAUUAAUCAAGAACGAAAGUUAGGGGAUCGAAGACGAUCAGAUACCGUCGUAGUCUUAACCAUAAACUAUGCCGACUAGGGAUCGGAUG